rnacentral:rRNA from 1 species
UACGAAGGGGGCUAGCGUUGCUCGGAAUCACUGGGCGUAAAGGGUGCGUAGGCGGGUUUUUAAGUCAGGGGUGAAAUCCUGGAGCUCAACUCCAGAACUGCCUUUGAUACUGAGGAGCUUGAGUCCGGGAGAGGUGAGUGGAACUGCGAGUGUAGAGGUGAAAUUCGUAGAUAUUCGCAAGAACACCGGUGGCGAAGGCGGCUCACUGGCCCGGUACUGACGCUGAGGUGCGAAAGCGUGGGGAGCAAACAGG